rnacentral:rRNA from 1 species
CCUACGGGAGGCAGCAGUGAGGAAUAUUGGUCAAUGGCCGAGAGUCUGAACCAGCCAAGUCGCGUGAAGGAUGACUGUCCUAUGGGUUGUAAACCUCUUUUAUAUGGGAGUAAAGUGUUCCACGUGUGGGUUUUUGCGUGUACCUUAAGAACAAGGAUCGGCUAACUCCGUGCCAGCAGCCGCGGUAAUACGGAGGAUGCGAGCGUUAUCCGGAUUUAAUGGGUUUAAAGGGUGCGUAGGGGGAUUGUUAAGUCAGUGGUGAAAAUUUGGGGCCCAACCCCAACAGUGCAGUUGAAACUGGCAAUCUUGAGUGCAGUAGAGGUGGGCGGAAUGCGUGGUGUAGCGGUGAAAUGCAUAGAUAUCACGAAGAACUCCGAUUGCGAAGGCAGCACACUGGACUGCAACUGACGCUGAGGCACGAAAGUGUGGGUAUCAAACAGGAUUAGAUACCCUAGUAGGC